UACGUAGGGCGCAAGCGUUGUCCGGAAUUAUUGGGCGUAAAGAGCUCGUAGGCGGUCUGUCGCGUCGGCUGUGAAAACCCGAGGCUCAACCUCGGGCCUGCAGUCGAUACGGGCAGACUAGAGUGUUGUAGGGGAGACUGGAAUUCCUGGUGUAGCGGUGAAAUGCGCAGAUAUCGGGAAGAACACCCGUGGCGAAGGCGGCUCUCUGGGACGGUACUGACGCUGAGACGCGAAAGCGUGGGGAGCGAACAGG
rnacentral:rRNA from 1 species